rnacentral:rRNA from 1 species
UACGAAGGGGGCUAGCGUUGUUCGGAUUUACUGGGCGUAAAGCGCACGUAGGCGGAUUGUUAAGUCAGGGGUGAAAUCCCGGAGCUCAACUCCGGAACUGCCUUUGAUACUGGCAAUCUAGAGUCCGGAAGAGGUGAGUGGAACUCCUAGUGUAGAGGUGGAAUUCGUAGAUAUUAGGAAGAACACCAGUGGCGAAGGCGGCUCACUGGUCCGGUACUGACGCUGAGGUGCGAAAGCGUGGGGAGCGAACAGG